rnacentral:rRNA from 1 species
AUUGAACGCUGGCGGCAUGCUUUACACAUGCAAGUCGAACGGUAACAGGCCUUCGGGUGCUGACGAGUGGCGCACGGGUGAGUAAUGCAUCGGAACGUACCCAGAGGUGGGGGAUAACGCAGCGAAAGCUGUGCUAAUACCGCAUGUGAUCUGAGGAUGAAAGCGGGGGACCGAGCAGCAAUGUUUGGCCUCGCGCCUUUGGAGCGGCCGAUGUCGGAUUAGCUAGUUGGUGGGGUAAAGGCCUACCAAGGCGACGAUCCGUAGCUGGUCUGAGAGGACGACCAGCCAAACUGGGACUGAGACACGGCCCAGACGCCUACGGGAGGCAGCAGUGGGGAAUUUUGGACAAUGGGCGCAAGCCUGAUCCAGCAAUGCCGCGUGCGGGAAGAAGGCCUUCGGGUUGUAAACCGCUUUUGGCAGGAACGAAACGGUGUCCGCUAAUACCGGGCGCUAAUGACGGUACCUGCAGAAUAAGCACCGGCUAACUACGUG